UAACAAGGAUUCCCCUAGUAACGGCGAGCGAAGCGGGAAGAGCUCAAAUUUGAAAGCUGGCGUCUUCGGCGUCCGCGUUGUAAUCUCGAGACGUGUUUUCCGUGCGGCUCUAUGGACAAGUCCCUUGGAACAGGGCAUCGUAGAGGGUGAAAAUCCCGUACUUGCCAUGGAAGUACCGUGCUUUGUGAUACACGCUCCAAGAGUCAAGUAGUUUGGGAUUGCUGCUCAAAGUGGGUGGUAGACUCCAUCUAAAGCUAAAUAUCGGGGAGAGACCGAUAGCGAACAAGUACCGUGAGGGAAAGAUGAAGAGCACUUUGGAAAGAGAGUUAAAAGUACGUGAAAUUGUCGAAAGGGAAGCACUUGAAGUCAGCCAUGCUGCUUGAGACUCAGCCUGGCUUUUGCUUGGUGUAUUUCUCGGUAGCAAGCCAGCAUUGGUUUGUGUCGUCGGAGAAGCGUAUGGGGAAUGUGGCAUCCUCGGAUGUGUUAUAGCCCUGUGCAGGAUACGACGACGUAGACCAAGGAACGCAGUGUGCCCUCUGGGCGGGUCUUCGGACACCUUCACACUUAGGAUGCUGGCGUAAUGGCUUUAAGUGGC
rnacentral:rRNA from 1 species